rnacentral:lncRNA from 1 species
CUUGAAUGUUGUGUCCAUACUUUCCCCAACUGUUCAGGGUUCGACCACUGCGGUCAUAUAAAGCUGCACCCUGCGGAGUAUCUGGUUGAAUAAGGGAUUGGGGAGAUGAAAAAAAUGGGGAGGGGUGGGGAGUAAAAUUUUUCUCAUUUCAGAUUUCAAGAAUUAAAAAGAUUUUCUUUUAUAUUCAACAGCAUAGUGUAUUUCUCAAAAGCA